UACCAGGAUCCUAUUGUCUUUUUUCAUGUUUUUGUUUCUUCCUUUUUUUUUUUUUCCUUAUGUAUGAUCUGUAGUUUUUGAGUGAAGCUAACAACAUAACCAAUGAACUGAAAAACUUCAGAGAGCAGAAAAUUAGAAGGCUGAAGGAUCAACUGAAACUCUUCCUGGGAAAUAAAAGAACAAAGAAUAUUUCAAGUAACUUUGAUCCAUUGCAGUGCUUGAUGAAUAUAUGCAGUGAAACAAAAGGGAAGGAUUUUCAUCCAGAUCUGGAAAAGCUGAGAAUGAGAUCUGAAGAGGAAAGAAAAGAGAUGCAGCAAACCAACAGUCCUCUGUUGUCCAUCACCAAAUCUUUCUGGAUUCCAGGGACACAUCAUAAGGCAGACGACGAGCUCUUAGAGUUCUUGACUGAGAACAUCAAGGUGCUGAAGCAGGCAGAACACCUGAUGGCAUCCAGAAUUAUUCUUCUGAAUCCACAGUUCACGACACCUCCUCUGUAUGGUAAAAACCUUAAAUCAUUUUAUUCACUACUACCCCAUAAAUGGAGCUACACAAAACAAUCUCACAAAACCCUUCUUUUCCCACUAACUGCCACCUUUCUGUUUGUAUAA
rnacentral:lncRNA from 1 species